rnacentral:rRNA from 1 species
GAUGAACGCUGGCGGCGUGCCUAAUACAUGCAAGUCGAGCGAACGGACGAGAAGCUUGCUUCUCUGAUGUUAGCGGCGGACGGGUGAGUAACACGUGGAUAACCUACCUAUAAGACUGGGAUAACUUCGGGAAACCGGAGCUAAUACCGGAUAAUAUUUUGAACCGCAUGGUUCAAAAGUGAAAGACGGUCUUGCUGUCACUUAUAGAUGGAUCCGCGCUGCAUUAGCUAGUUGGUAAGGUAACGGCUUACCAAGGCAACGAUGCAUAGCCGACCUGAGAGAGUGAUCGGCCGCCUGGGAGCGGGGACACGGUCCAUACUCCUACGGGACGCAGCAGUAGGGAACCUUCCGCAAAAGGCGAGAGCCUGACGGAACAACGCCGCGUGAGUGAUGGAGGUCUUCGGAUCGUAAAACUCUGUUAUGAGGGAAGAACAUAUGUGUAAGGAACUGUGCACAUCUUGACGGUACCUAAUCAGAAAGCCACGGCUAACUACGUG